rnacentral:rRNA from 1 species
AUUGAACGCUGGCGGCAGGCCUAACAAAUGCAAAUAGAACGAAUGAAGGGAGCUUGCUCCUGGAUUCAGCGGCGGACGGGUGAGUAAUGCCUAGGAAUCUGCCUGGUAGUGGGGGAUAACGUCCGGAACCGGGCGCUAAUACCGCCUACGUCCUGAGGGAGACACUGGGGGAUCUUACGACCUCACGCUAUCAGCUGAGCCUAGGUCGGAUUAGCUAGUUGGUGGGGUAAAGGCCUACCAAGGCGACGAUCCGUAACUGGUCUGAGAGGAUGAUCAGUCACACUGGAACUGAGACACGGGCCAGACUCCUACGGGAGGCAGCAGUGGGGAAUAGUGGACUUGUGUCGAAAGCCUGAUCCAGCCAGGGUGCUUUGUUUGAUAAGGUCUUCGGAUUGUAAAGCUCUUGAAGUUGGGAGGAAGGGCAGUAAGGUUUGUUCGUGCUGUUUUGACUUUACCAACAGAUUAAGCUCCUUUUAACUUCGUG